AUAUCAAUAAGCGGAGGAAAAGAAACUAACAAGGAUUCCCCUAGUAACUGCGAGUGAAGCGGGAAAAGCUCAAAUUUAAAAUCUGGCGGUCUUCGAUCGUCCGAGUUGUAGUCUGGAGAAGCGUCUUCCGCGCUGGACCGUGUACAAGUCUCUUGGAACAGAGCGUCGUAGAGGGUGAGAAUCCCGUCUUUGACACGGACUGCCAGUGCUUUGUGAUGCGCUCUCAAAGAGUCGAGUUGUUUGGGAAUGCAGCUCAAAAUGGGUGGUAAAUUCCAUCUAAAGCUAAAUAUUGGCGAGAGACCGAUAGCGAACAAGUACCGUGAGGGAAAGAUGAAAAGCACUUUGGAAAGAGAGUUAAACAGUACGUGAAAUUGCUGAAAGGGAAACGAUUGAAGUCAGUCGCGUCGUCUAGAACUCAACCUGGCCUCGGCUCGGUGCAUUUUCUAGUUGACGGGCCAGCAUCAGUUUUGACCGUUGGAAAAAGGUCCUUGGAAUGUGGCACCUUCGGGUGUGUUAUAGCCUUGGGUCGUAUACGACGGUUGGGACUGAGGACCGCAGCACGCCUUUAUGGCCGGGGUUCGCCCACGUACGUGCUUAGGAUGCUGGCGUAAUGGCUUUAAACGACCCGUCUUGAAACACGGACCAAGGAGUCUAACAUGCCUGCGAGUGUUUGGGUGGUAAACCCGAGCGCGUAACGAAAGUGAAAGUUGGGAUCCCUGUCGUGGGGAGCACCGACGCCCACACCAGACCUUCUGUGACGGAUGUGCGGUUGAGCAUGUAUGUUGGGACCCAAAGAUGGUGAACUAUGCCUGAAUAGGGUGAAGCCAGAGGAAACUCUGGUGGAGGCUCGUAGCGAUUCUGACGUGUCAAAUCGAUCGUCAAAUUUGGGUAUAGGGGCGAAAGACUAAUCGAACCAUCUAGUAGCUGG
rnacentral:rRNA from 1 species